CUCGGCUUUCCAUGCAAGGAGCUGGGUGUACUUCAGCAGCUUUUAUUCAGGUGCCGUCAGACCUGCAGCACAGUUUACGUGUUAUAUUGCAGAAUGUAAUAUGACAGGAUUACCUGUAAUAAAACACUGGAAAGGACAGGUUCUUGGAAGGAGAGCUAUAUCCCCAAGAGCAAGAUUUGUGGAAACCAUCAUUGCUCAAAAAUGAAUUGUGACCUAGCCAGCAAGACUGCUGUAGGGAAAGAAAUGCUGUAGGAAGGGAGUUAUUCACCUUACUCCGAGCUGCAGGGACAUGGCAUGUCAUUCUUAUUAUAGCCAAGAAAAGCUGUUGUGUUUGCCAUAUUUACUUCUAGAGUCCAUCUGAGGAUCCAGCUGUACUUAUCUGAGCUGUCUCUGGGAUCCAGUAGAGCAUAAUGGCAAAUCAGUACAUCUCUACAAAAGACAUCUGGACUUCAGCAUUCAAAACAGUGUUUUGACGAAAACUUGAGUCUCAACAAUUGUUUUCCUCUCAUUUUCCACUGCCUGAACUGUAUCUUUACUGUCAUCUGUACUACUCUGCUGGUGAUAAAAAGUUUCCAGCCCUCAGGCCAUGUGAAUAUGUAAAGCAUUCCAGCAAAUUCGAAUACCAACUUGCCUCAGUGCAAAUCUACAAAGGUGGUUUUCCAGCACACAUUAGGCAACACCUAACUGUGAAAAAUUCACUCUAUUUCAGCAGACAAGUAACAUACUCUGGGAAAAAAUCAAACGUGACUCCUUAAGACCAGACUAUCAAUUUAAUUAAAUUGCCUUCAGGAUAUAA